GGAUGCGAUCAAACCACUUCUAACGCACCGGAUCCAUCAAAACUCCGAAGUUAAGCGUGCUUGGGCGAGAGUAGUACUCGAAAGGGUGACCCCCUGGGAAGUCCUCGUGUUGGAUCCC
rnacentral:rRNA from 1 species